rnacentral:rRNA from 1 species
UACGUAGGUGGCAAGCGUUGUCCGGAUUUACUGGGUGUAAAGGGCGUGCAGCCGGGAAGACAAGUCAGAUGUGAAAUCCCGCGGCUCAACCGCGGAACUGCAUUUGAAACUGUUUUUCUUGAGUACCGGGGAGGUCAUCGGAAUUCCUUGUGUAGCGGUGAAAUGCGUAGAUAUAAGGAAGAACACCAGUGGCGAAGGCGGAUGACUGGACGGCAACUGACGGUGAGGCGUGAAAGCGUGGGGAGCAAACAGG